rnacentral:lncRNA from 1 species
AUGAGCUCCUCUAGGGUAAGGGAUUCCUCCAUGAAUUUUCUUUUUUUUUUUUUUUUUUUAAUUUUUAUUUAUGAUAGUCACAGAGAGAGAGAGAGAGAGAGGCAGAGACACAGGCAGAGGGAGAAGCAGGCUCCAUGCACCGGGAGCCCGAUGUGGGAUUCGAUCCCGGGUCUCCAGGAUCGCGCCCUGGGCCAAAGGCAGGCGCCAAACCCCUGCGCCACCCAGGGAUCCCUCCUCCAUGAAUUUUCAUUUUGUAUUUAUCUACAGGGUCCGGCAGUGUUUGAAGAAGAAAUGAGCGAGGGUUUGAGGAUGGAUCAAUGCGAGGAUGAAAGAGAGGGUGCAAGAAAAUGGGACCAAAACUUGAAUGAAGGAAAGAGAAAAAAGAUCCAAGAUGCCUGAGCUGCAGAAACUCAGGAGGCAACAAGAUGAAGAGACCACAGAGCAAAAAAACAGUUACCACUGCCCACUCCCCAAGUAUGUUAGUAAUCCGACUUCUUAACUUUAUGGUCCUUCAGAAUAUGUGCAGUCCAUAAUACAUCAGAAACUGAUUAUCCGAGGCUAGUUGUAACUGUUGAUGUAAUUCUAAACUCAAGCUUUUGCUUCUCUUGCAGUACUUAAUGCAUGUUAUUUUGCUUUCAUAAAUAGAAUAUAACAGUCAGACGAGCUGGGUAACUUUGAUUAGGAACAAAAAGGAUGAUACUUUUAGUCUUACUUUUUUAUAUUAUUUUCUCGAUGGGUUCAACUCUGCCCAUUGACACUGGCCCAAAUGCUAUGACACUGCAAAACUGAGAUCGUAUCUUGUUUUUUUGGACACUUCACUUUGCCCAGGUCAGUGGAAUUCAACUGAGUAGUGAACUGGCUUAAACAUUUAGCACAGGGACGCCGGGGUGGCUCAGCGGUGGAGCACCUGCCUUUGGCUCGGGUGAUCCCAGGAUCGAGUCCCACAUCGGGCUCCUUGUGGGGAGCCUGCUCCUCCCCCUGCCUGUGUCCCUGCCGCUCUCUGGGUCUCUCCUGAAUAAAUAAGAUCUUUAAAGAAAUUUAAUACCA